rnacentral:lncRNA from 1 species
CUUAGAAAUAAUAUCUUUGGGAGGUUUGAGUUUGUCGCACUCGUGUCUCAUCUUCCUAGGUUAUCAGCACACACUCAUGACAGUAAAUGCCGUGGUGACAAAGCCACAACCCCAAUGUUUGGGACUUUCUCCUGCCCGAGGCUGAAUCUUGGCUCAGUUCUUGAUGAACUAAGAUAGGUGGGUGGCAGGUCUUGCUCGGGCAUGGCAGAUGCUGGAGAGGAGGAUUCUUGUGUGAUACAAACACCGUAGCCUGAAUUCAAGUGUCAGUUGGCUAUGGCCCACAUCUUCCACCAGGAGGACCCCUUCAUUGGCCAUCUGCCUUGAGAUAACACAAACCUGCAUUUUGCCCAGCAGAGGAUCUUCAGCCCUACUUACUGUGGCUGGCAUAAUUUCCUCCAGGAAAUGCUUCCUGGCCCUUUCCAUUCACUCCUCUUCCUAGCCCAGAGUAGUGCUUCCUGACGGCCCAUCAGUGCACUUGCUGCUUUCUGUUUCAUCCAGGUCCUUCCACUAGACAAGGAGGGGCCUGAGAGUAGAGUCCAUUAUUCAUAUGUUUCCAGGCCAGAAAAACAGAAGGGGCCUAUUAAGCAUUUGAAAAACAAUUACAACAAAG